rnacentral:lncRNA from 1 species
AUGGGGGAGGGGCCCGGGCUCUUACCGCCUGCACCGUGGGGGAAGGGCAGGCCGGGGUGUGUGGGGGAGGGGGCAGACUGGAGGCCGUGGGGGAGGGGUGCUGGCCUGGACGCGGCCCCUUUGGGCGUGGGGGAGGGUCUGCGGGGUGGGGAAGGGGUACGCGGGUGGGGGGAGGUUGCAGAGGACCCGGGCUCCCCUCCCCCGGCGGUGGGGGAGGGGGCGGGCUGGGGGUCCUGGGGGAGGGGCUGGCCUGGGACGAGGCCUCUUUGGGGGUGGGGGAGGGUGCAGGGGCCCCGGGGUCCCCUUUCCCUGCGGCGGGGUCGGGCGCAGGCUGGGGGCCGUGGGGGUGGGCGAUGGGGAGGCCCCGGGUGGGGGAGCGCGCAAGGGCCCCGGGCGGUGGGGGAGGGCGCAGGCUGGGGGCUGUGGAGGGUGAUGGGGGGAGGGCGAUGGGGGCGUCCCGGGUCGGGGAGCGCGCUGGGGCCCCGGGCUCCCCUCCCCCGGCGGCGGCGGCGGCGGGGGCGGGCGCAGGCUGGGGGCGGCGCCCAGGGCCGUCCUCCCGGCCGGGGUCGGCGUUCCGGCGGCCGCUCCCCAGCGGAGGUCACUGGCCGCGCCGGUCCCUCCCGCGUCCCGCCCUCUCCCGCCGCCGCCGUUUUCCCCCCCUCCCCGCCCGCCCCGUCCUCCGCGCUCGGGAGCGAGGAGCCGCCCGCGCCCCCGCCCCGCCGCCGCCGCCGCCGCAGCGCCCUCGCCGCCAUUCGGCACCCGAAACUUUCCAGCGCCCGCGCGUCUCGGGGACUCGGCGGCGGCGGGGGACGCGGGCGCGGGGCGGGGCGGCGGGGGCGGCGCGCGGCGGCUUCGGGCGCCGGGCCCUCGGCUGCCGCGGCGCGGCCCGGGCUCGGCGGCGGCGGCGGCGGCCGGCGGGGCGCAGGCUUGGAGCGGCGGCGCCGGACACAAGUUGCGCGGCUCAGGGCGAGGUAACCGAAGAUAGAAAACAGGCCUAAAAAUAAAUCCCAGAAGGAAGACGAGAUUUGCCUACAUUUGUCUCUGA